rnacentral:rRNA from 1 species
UACAGAGGUCUCAAGCGUUGUUCGGAUUCAUUGGGCGUAAAGGGUGUGUAGGUGGCGCGCUAAGUCGGGUGUGAAAUUUCGGAGCUUAACUCCGAAACUGCAUUCGAUACUGGCGUGCUUGAGGACUGGAGAGGAGACUGGAAUUCAUGGUGUAGCAGUGAAAUGCGUAGAGAUCAUGAGGAAGACCAGUGGCGAAGGCGGGUCUCUGGACAGUUCCUGACACUGAGACACGAAGGCCAGGGGAGUAAACGGG